AUUAUAAAUGCUACAUAUGUUAUUUUUGAUUUCCCAGCGAAGACGAGAGUGAAAAAAAAUCAAUUAACUGCUGUGAAAUCAAUCUUGUUUGUUUCGUUUUUAGUUCCAGCUACAGAAAUUAUUGCUAAAUAACAUGCAAGAAUUUUGAAGAAACCUCACAGAUCCUCGCACAAGUUUGUAUUUUUAGUAGGGAUACAGUAACACGACAAUAACAAUGUGUGUAAGUGUCUGUUUUUUUGUAUGUGUGUGUGUGUGUGUGUGUAUGUAGGGAUAUUAGAGAAAAAUAUUCCGUAUCAAGGCAGGGCUCAGUGAAUCAUUAUUCUUUGAUAGCUGCCAAAGCUCUACCCUCAGGAUACUGCAGAGCUACAGAUACUGGUCUGGUGCAGAGUGCUACUGUACAGUGGAUCAGAGAGUUUGUGCAUCUAUGUGUGUGUGUGUGUGUGUGUGUGUGUGUGUGUGUGUGUGUGUGUGUGUGUGGGAAGGCAGAGGGAGUAAAAUAUGUACGAAAGUAAGAGUCUGAUUGAGUCAUACCUCUAAGUCGGGGUCCAGAACAUCUUUGUGACAACUUGAAUGGUGGAGCAUGAGCAGUGUGUAGGUCUAUGUGCGUACGUCUACUUGUGCAUGAGUGCUCGUACGAAGGAACCGCGAGUGCAGUCGGUGAGUCGCACUGACUCAGAUCGCCGUCGCUCUGCCAAAAAUAUUUUUGCGACAGCUUCAGCAGAAAAGAGGCGGAGAAGUUGAGUGGAAAUGACACACUUGGCUUUACUUAAUGCCAACUCCUGUCCCUGUGGUGUGUGUGCGAGUGUGUGUGUGUGUAACUUGUAUUUGCUUUUGUGUUUUUGUGAUGCCCUCAUUUUCAUCUGAAAGGCCCUUUGGUUGUCCUCAGACCACAAACAAAAUGUUUGACAAAGACAACGUCAGCUCUUGAUGUGUUGGGGCACACAACAUGCGUGUUACAUAACCGACAAUAAAGUGAUGUGUUUAACAAAUAACUUCACUUCUACAAUUGACAACAGAAUGUGCGACAGCACUUCCUAUUAAUCACAUCACAUUGAGUCCUAGAUUUACUCACAUUCUCACAUUGAGCGGUUUCACCUUCAAGUUAAUGAAAAAUGACAGGUCAACCGUCACAUCGAAGGGCUAAAACAGGUUUUCUUGUAAGUGUUCAAUGAUAAAUGAGUCAGGGUCGUAUAGGAGCGCUUCAUCAAUCGCUUAAGAGACAGUGCCAGAUGUUUCAGAUUUAAAGAAACAGGGAAAAGAUUCUGGUGCUCCUUAUUGAGGAUGGUUAAGUUAAAGAAACAAACCAAUCUUGGUUUGUUUCUUUGUUUGUUUUGUGGCGUCCUUCCAGAGUUGUGUUGUUGCCUCUAGUCCCUGAGUAAAAAACUACAAUUACAACAACAGUUGUUGUUUUUUCUCUUAAUUUAAAGGUGUAGUAAAAAGCCCCUUCCUCCAUCACCAGAAUGAGGAGAAGGAAACAAACGUGGAAACUUAAACAUAAUUCAGAUUUAUCCUCCAAUGGAGGUGUUCCAAAUAAAUUGCUUGCGUUGCUGGAUAACUUAUUGUGACAAGAUUGGGAAAUUAUUUUGUAUUUUUGCGUUGGUUUUAUUCAAAUUUUUGAUCCUGCCUGCUGACAGAAAUACAUACAGUACGACACGUGCUGUUGGCGUGUCUUAAAAAUACACCUCAUGUAGUUGGUUCGGUGAAAAUACUUCACCGGAUGAGACUGUUCAAUAUGAAGGUAGGAUUGUACGUUUGUGAAUUUUACAAAGCAUGUCAAUAACAAUCAAGUAGUGUUGAGUACAUUAACAAAUUAAACAUGUGCAAUCAAUCUAAUUAAAUCAAAAUUGAAUAUCUCUGUAAUGUCUAUGACAUUUGUAAUCAUGACUCGUCUAAUGAGGGGGAAGACUUAUUUACUGUGCAUCUCAUAUUUGUUAAUGAGACAUAACAAACGUGGUUGGUAAUGUUGGUGUAAUUUUCCAGAGAAUUAUAAUGAUAAGAUAAUAAUAAUAAUGAUAAUAAUACUGAAACUGUUCCUCCACCUUCUUUAUGCAUGAACUGGUGGUCUGAUCAUUCCUCUUUGUGUGUGCUGAGCGGCUGGGCCGACAGGACUUUGCUUGUUUUUCCGUAUCAUUGACAAUUGACCGGCUCGGGUAAUGGAGUAGUGCAAUGGCCGAGCGAAUGCUCCCCGACCGCUGCAGCUGCUCCUGGCCACAGCAGCUCCUGGCCACAGCAACUGGGGCAGAAAAUUCAACUUAGCGCUUUGUCGUAAUCGGCAAAGAAUCCCGGUUUCCUGUCUUCUUGUUCCUAUUUUUCUCUGCCUCUUUUUCCACAUUCUAAUUUUCAUUUUACAAUGGUGUCUUUCUCAGGUGUGAUUAUUUAAGCCUGGCAACCACCUCAGCCAUGCAUGUUUGUGUAUCCGUGGGCCUGUGUGCACAUUCAGACAUACGUGCACCAGCUCUUACAUGGAGCUUGUCAUCUUGUCACAGGAAUUUGUAAUUACUUCCUCUUGGGAGUCAAACAACAUACCAGCAUGGAGCAUGAUGGUAUUUCUCUGGAGUAAAACAAUUCUCUGAAAUACACAACUUAUUCUGACGCCCAGCUCCCACUUCCUCUCACUCGUCGUCUCCGUCUAGAGGACCAGGUUUAGUGGACCAGCCUUAUCCUCUAGGGACCUGCUCCUUGUUAGAGCUGCUGGUCGGUCAGCUGCACUCAUUCCGUGUUGGUGGGCGAGUCUCUUAUUGUCCCCAUUUGCUGAAGUGAAUGAGUGGUACUUGUGUGCAAUGUAAAUAGUGUUAAACCACAGGACUCUCACAGUGAGGGUCAAUAAGAAUAUCUGGCAAACCUUUAGAUUGUGAAUAUAUGAGUAGGAGGGGAAGGGAGGAGUUUAGGGAAGGAUGAUUAUGACAAGUGGCAGCAGCAGAAGUCCCUGGAAUUAGCUCCUGCAGAAGGGAUGCACGUCAAACUCAUGUCAGCUUUCUCUAAAUCUUCUCGUGUGAAAUUUAGCUGAUUAUGCUUCUGUUGCAAUGCAUAGAUCCAGUCUCCAAGUCAUUGUGUGUGUGUGGCGUUGACUGAAAGCCACUUAGCAUGCAUGCUAAGUGGCUUUCAGCCAACGCCACACACGCACACACAAAAACCAACUCACAUUCCCUCUUCCUUAAAUUACUUUUUGAUUGUAAAACAAAUAAUUCCAGAUUAAGUACCGCACCUUAAUCUUAAAAGGGUUUGUCACUUCCAAAAGAGUUGAGUGACCUAAACUCCUCCACCUUUUAUAACGCAGGGUUUUCUACUAUAAUUGUUAAGUCUUUAAGCCCAAAAUGAGAUAACCCUGAUUACAUUAUCACGGUCAUUUCCUCAAAGCUGUGCUUUCAAGUGGCCGUGCCCUCUUGGUGACGAGUAAAUUGGUCUUCCUAUGCCGUCAACCUUCAAUUAACAGUGAUCUUGAUGCUAUGUACAAGGUGGCCUCUUGGCCUGACGGGGUUCAACCUGAGCUAAAAUGUUCAGAGAUAAAAGAAGAAGUAAAAGAAGUAAAAUGUGGAUGAAUAGAGAAGGUGAACACAUAAUAAAACUAUGUAAAGUUGAAGAAAUAAAAAUUAUAAAGGAAAGAAAGAAAAAUGGUUCAAAAAUGGUUCAAAAAUUUGGUCCAGAAUAUCUUUCUCUUUUGUAUUCAAAGCACAGCUUGUUCUCAUAACAUGGAUUGGAAGUAGAAUGAGGCUAAUUACUGAAGUAGUCUGCAAUUUAAAAACCAUCCAGAAUGUAAAUGUACCUCCAGCAUUAGACAACAAGACUGAAGCAAUUUGUGUGCACUGACACAGAAGAGUUUAUUUUGGUAUAUUAAAUAAGCAGGAAGGUUGUGUGUGUGUGUGUGUGACAGACAGGAUGGGCUCCCUUAGGCCCUGGUCCUGCCAACAGCGGAGCAGCGAUCAGGUGCCUGAGCAGACCGCCUCUAAUGAGAUGCUCAAAGCCAACAGGGCAUCCGAGUGCCAUGUGACCCGCCUGUGUGCAACGACGGCGUUAUGUGUCCAUGUCGGUGGUGAACGAACCAUCGAAUCCCAUGCAUUCGUUUGUGCGGGGGAGCAGAAUGAUUCACCUAGCAGUGCUUCUUCCAGCUGCUGUUAGAUGAAAAUUAAUUACGCAGGGAGAAAGAGAGAGAGGGACAGAGAGGGGGAGAGGGAGACUCUUUCCUGGCUCGCCUCAAGUUUUUUUUUACGAGUCAUAACUGCUUAUUUGAUUGCAUGAAUAAAUAACCCAGUAUUCUGUUCUAUUUGUGUGAUACUCUGGCUGUCGGCCCUUUGCACCUCCAUAAAUCCAUUCCCUUUCUUCUCAUAUGCAAAUUGAAGCGGAGGAGAUGCAUACUUCUCAGCUUCCCAACAGUGUAAGGAAACUCUAUAAGAUCAAUAACCACAUCCCCCUCAUCAGCUAAGCUUGUACGGCAAGUAAUUGAAUUGAUUGUGCCGUAGUAAGUGCUCGGCCUCGCCACUUCACUUAUUAUUAGCAAAAGGUGAGAGCCUCGGAAUAUACUGCAUGUAAAAUAAAAGCACAACCCCUCCCAGCCUUCUGGGGAAUUAGGCUCUAAUCAUCCAUGAUACCCACAUUAAGGGUUUUAAUCAGAUUUGGUGUCAGGAUGUGAUGUGGCACAAUGUAUUCUUCCAGUCAUCUGGGAUAAUUUCUUCACUUGAGUGUCCUCACAUCAUUGGAAUGGAUUCAUUUUGGCGUAAAACCUCCUUUGUGUGUGCUGCCUUAUCCAUAGCCUCCCGUGACAUUUACGGGAUUAUGGCGUGACACGACCUGGUGUGUGGCUGAAUGAAGGAAGCAUUAAAUUGCUCCUGAAUGAUUUCCAACAAUCUGCCGACUCACUUCCGAUAAACAAAAACAUGGAAACAUGGGGUCCAGGUUAAAAACUAAGAAUUUGUUUACAGUUUUGAAGCCUGCUUCAGUUGUUUGGCUUAAUGGGUUCAUAUUGUUCUCUGUCCUAAAGCAAUUAUGACUUUUAUGACUAUUGGAUCCUACUCGGUUAUAUCAGGCAAGACCUUUGCUCGUUGUUUUCAUCUCACACUCCGUCCGAC
ensembl:lncRNA